rnacentral:lncRNA from 1 species
AUGGCACCGGAGCACCUUUUGGCGACAUUUGCAAAGUUAUGUGCUGAGAUUCUAGCAGCUGCAUCAGAUGGUAUGCUCAAUAUAGAUGAUAUAACUGGACAGUCUGUUCUUCAGGUACUGAUCAUCUGGACAUUUGUAGACCGUGCCUGCCAAAAAAUAUAGUGUUUUUCUUUCAUGAUAAUGUUAUGACAGCAGCCAAUCUCAGCAUUUAUUAUAUGUUUAUGGAGCAGGAUGCUUUCCAGAUUCUUGCCUGCAAAGAGAUCCGAGUCUCAUCCCAUCGUGGAGCUGCAUCCGAUUCAGCAGAGGUAGAGGAAGAUGGUGAUAGCAGCGCAUCUGCAGCUGCUGCAAAAGGAAGGGCUAUAACACAAGCUGUGAGAAAGGGUCUUAUUCAAAACACUAUCCCAAUUUUUAUAGAGCUAAAACGGCUACUAGAAAACAAGAACAGCCCUCUCACAGGUUCCCUCAUGGAAUGCCUGCGAGUCCUUCUCAAGGACUACAAAAACGAGAUCGAUGACAUGUUGGUUGCAGAUAAACAGCUUCAAAAAGAGCUUAUAUAUGACAUACAGAAAUAUGAGUCAGCAAAGGCUCGAACAACAGCUGCAGAAGCAGUUGCAGGCAUGCAAAACCAAGGUGUCUAUCGAUCACCACCUUGCGUUCCGAAAGCUGCAACUGGAGCUGAUCCUGAAAACAAGAUGAACCAGAAGU